AUUGAACGCUGGCGGCAUGCUUUACACAUGCAAGUCGAACGGCAGCGCGGGCUUCGGCCUGGCGGCGAGUGGCGAACGGGUGAGUAAUACAUCGGAACGUGCCCAGUAGUGGGGGAUAGCUCGGCGAAAGCCGGAUUAAUACCGCAUACGACCUGAGGGUGAAAGCGGGGGAUCUUCGGACCUCGCGCUAUUGGAGCGGCCGAUGGCAGAUUAGCUAGUUGGGGGGGUAAAGGCCUACCAAGGCGACGAUCUGUAGCUGGUCUGAGAGGACGACCAGCCACACGGGGACUGAGACACGGCCCAGACUCCUACGGGAGGCAGCAGUGGGGAAUUUUGGACAAUGGGCGAAAGCCUGAUCCAGCAAUGCCGCGUGUGGGAUGAAGGCCUUCGGGUUGUAAAGCACUUUUGGCGGGAACGAAAAGGACUGUGCCAAUACCACGGUUCGAUGACGGUACCCGCAGAAUAAGCACCGGCUAACUACGUG
rnacentral:rRNA from 1 species